CAGAGUAGGUACCGGCGUGUGGUUUUAUCCUGUGUGCCGUCUGAACGGGGAGUUGUCGGACGGACGAAAGCUUUCGCUGCAGCGACGGUAUCGCAUCCCGCUG
rnacentral:ncRNA from 1 species